GUAGUACUCCCUCCAUCCAAAAAUUCUUGUCUUACAUUUGUUUAGAUACAGAUGUAUCUAACACUAAAAUAUAACUAGAUAUGUCUGUAUUUAGACAAAUUUAAGACAAGAAUUUUGGGAUGGAGGGAGUACAAA
rfam:Triticum aestivum genome assembly, contig: Triticum_aestivum_CS42_TGACv1_scaffold_130614_2BL